rnacentral:rRNA from 1 species
AGUGAACGCUGGCGGUAGGCCUAACACAUGCAAGUCGAACGGCAGCACAGUAAGAGCUUGCUCUUACGGGUGGCGAGUGGCGGACGGGUGAGGAAUACAUCGGAAUCUACUUUUUCGUGGGGGAUAACGUAGGGAAACUUACGCUAAUACCGCAUACGACCUACGGGUGAAAGCAGGGGAUCUUCGGACCUUGCGCGAUUGAAUGAGCCGAUGUCGGAUUAGCUAGUUGGCGGGGUAAAGGCCCACCAAGGCGACGAUCCGUAGCUGGUCUGAGAGGAUGAUCCGCCACACUGGAACUGAGACACGGUCCAGACUCCUACGGGAGGCAGCCGUGGGGAAUAUUGGACCAUGGGCGCAAGCCUGAUCCAGCCAUACCGCGUGGGUGAAGAAGGCCUUCGGGUUGUAAAGCCCUUUUGUUGGGAAAGAAAAGCAGCAGGUUAAUACCCCGCUGUUCUGACGGUACCCAAAGAAUAAGCACCGGCUAACUUCGUG